UGGGUUUGACAUAUACCGGAAAGCCGUAGAGAUACGGCCCCCCUUGUGGUCGGUAUACAGGUGGUGCAUGGCUGUCGUCAGCUCGUGUCGUGAGAUGUUGGGUUAAGCCCCGCAACGAGCGCAACCCUUGUCCCGUGUUGCCAGCAACUCUCUUCGGAGGGGUUGGGGACUCACGGGAGACCGCCGGGGUCAACUCGGAGGAAGGUGGGGAUGACGUUACGGUC
rnacentral:misc_RNA from 1 species